rnacentral:rRNA from 1 species
GAUGAACGCUGGCGGCGUGCCUAAUACAUGCAAGUCGAGCGAACGGACGAGAAGCUUGCUUCUCUGAUGCUAGCGGCGGACGGGUGAGUAACACGUGGAUAACCUACCUAUAAGACUGGGAUAACUUCGGGAAACCGGAGCUAAUACCGGAUAAUAUUUUGAACCGCAUGGUUCAAAAGUGAAAGACGGUCUUGCUGUCACUUAUAGAUGGAUCCGCGCUGCAUUAGCUAGUUGGUAAGGUAACGGCUUACCAAGGCAACGAUGCAUAGCCGACCUGAGAGGGUGAUCGGCCACACUGGAACUGAGACACGGUCCAGACUCCUACGGGAGGCAGCAGUAGGGAAUCUUCCGCAAUGGGCGAAAGCCUGACGGAGCAACGCCGCGUGAGUGAUGAAGGUCUUCGGAUCGUAAAACUCUGUUAUUAGGGAAGAACAUAUGUGUAAGUAACUGUGCACAUCCUGACGGUACCUAAUCAGAAAGCCACGGCUAACUACGUG